rnacentral:rRNA from 1 species
AUUGAACGCUGGCGGAAUGCUUUACACAUGCAAGUCGAACGGCAGCACGGACUUCGGUCUGGUGGCGAGUGGCGAACGGGUGAGUAAUGUAUCGGAACGUGCCCAGUCGUGGGGGAUAACGUAGUGAAAAUUACGCUAAUACCGCAUACGACCUAUGGAUGAAAGCGGGGGAUCGCAAGACCUCGCGCGAUUGGAGCGGCCGAUAUCAGAUUAGGUAGUUGGUGGGGUAAAGGCCCACCAAGCCAACGAUCUGUAGCUGGUCUGAGAGGACGACCAGCCACACUGGAACUGAGACACGGUCCAGACGCCUACGGGAGGGAGCAGUGGGGAAUUUUGGACAAUGGGCGAAAGCCUGAUCCAGCCAUUCCGCGUGCAGGAUGAAGGCCCUCGGGUUGUAAACUGCUUUUGUACAGAACGAAAAGGUUUCUACUAAUACUAGGAGCUCAUGACGGUACUGUAAGAAUAAGCACCGGCUAACUACGUGCCAGCAGCCGCAGUAA